rnacentral:rRNA from 1 species
AACGAACGCUGGCGGCAUGCCUAACACAUGCAAGUCGAACGAGACCUUCGGGUCUAGUGGCGCACGGGUGCGUAACGCGUGGGAAUCUGCCCUUGGGUUCGGAAUAACAGUUAGAAAUGACUGCUAAUACCGGAUGAUGUCUUCGGACCAAAGAUUUAUCGCCCAGGGAUGAGCCCGCGUCGGAUUAGCUAGUUGGUGAGGUAAAGGCUCACCAAGGCGACGAUCCGUAGCUGGUCUGAGAGGAUGAUCAGCCACACUGGGACUGAGACACGGCCCAGACUCCUACGGGAGGCAGCAGUGGGGAAUAUUGGACAAUGGGCGAAAGCUUGAUCCAGCAAUGCCGCGUGAGUGAUGAAGGCCUUAGGGUUGUAAAGCUCUUUUACCCGGGAUGACAAUGACAGUACCGGGAGAAUAAGCCCCGGCUAACUCCGUGCCAGCCGCCGCCGUAAGAC